UUUCUUUUUUUCCUCUUUUUUCAUUUUUCUUUUUCUUCCCUCUUUUUUCCCCCUUUUUCGGGCCUUCUCCCAAAAAACCCAGCGAGGGAG
rnacentral:ribozyme from 15 species